UACGAAGGGGGCUAGCGUUGCUCGGAAUCACUGGGCGUAAAGGGUGCGUAGGCGGGUUUUUAAGUCAGAGGUGAAAGCCCGGAGCUCAACUCCGGAACUGCCAUUGAAACUGUGAGACUUGAGGAUGAGAGAGGUGAGUGGAAUUCCCAGUGUAGAGGUGAAAUUCGUAGAUAUUGGGAAGAACACCGGUGGCGAAGGCGGCUCACUGGCUCAUUUCUGACGCUCAGGCGCGACAGCGUGGGGAUCAAACAGG
rnacentral:rRNA from 1 species